AUUCACUUGAUGAGUUCUAGAUAGAACGAAACUUGAGUCCGGAAU
rnacentral:hammerhead_ribozyme from 1 species